rnacentral:rRNA from 1 species
CACGUAGGGCGCAAGCGUUGUCCGGAAUUAUUGGGCGUAAAGAGCUCGUAGGCGGUCUGUUACGUCUGCUGUGAAAACCCAGGGCUUAACCCUGGGCUUGCAGUGGAUACGGGCAGACUAGAGGCAGGUAGGGGAGAAUGGAAUUCCCGGUGUAGCGGUGAAAUGCGCAGAUAUCAGGAGGAACACCGGUGGCGAAGGCGGGUCUCUGGGCCGUAACUGACGCUGAGGAGCGAAAGCAUGGGGAGCGAACAGG